rnacentral:rRNA from 1 species
GCGUGUCUGAAGAAGGCCUUCGGGUGUAAAGGACUUUGUCAGGAGCAAACUUACUGGUUAAUACCUGGUGAGGUUGAGAGUACCUGAAGAAUAAGCACCGGCUAACUACGUGCCAGCAGCCGCGGUAAUACGUAGGGUGCAAGCGUUAAUCGGAAUUACUGGGCGUAAAGCGUGCGCAGGCGGACUUUUAAGCCAGAUGUGAAAGCCCCGAGCUUAACUUGGGAAUUGCGUUUGGAACUGGGGAGUCUAGAGUCUGUCAGAGGGGGGAUGGAAUUCCACGUGUAGCAGUGAAAUGCGUAGAGAUGUGGAGGAACACCGAUGGCGAAGGCAGUCCCCUGGGAUAAGACUGACGCUCAUGCACGAAAGCGUGGGGAGCAAACAGGAUUAGAUACCCUGGUAGUCCACGCCCUAAACGAUGUCUACUAGUUGUUGGGGUAGCAAUACCUCAGUGACGCAGCUAACGCGUGAAGUAGACCGCCUGGGU